UUAUGAAAUUUUGUAUUUGGCAACUUUUUUUAUUUGAGUUCAUCUUGUCAUGCAAAACCGCGUUUUUAAUUAAAAAUUAAAUUUUUUUAUUUUUUUAAAACAAUCUCGGAUGGAAAAACUCUCUAAAUAAACUUUGUAGAUCUUCAAAAGUUAUGAAACUUUGUAGUUGAUAACUUUUUGUUUUGAAAUCAUCUUGUUAUGCAAAAACUACAUUUGAAUUUCUUAAAUUUGAAAAUUCUUUGCCGAGUGUUUUUCUUUGACACUCAGCAAAGACCUUCUUUGC
rnacentral:lncRNA from 1 species